GCGCAGGUGGUGUAGUGGUAGCAUAGCAGCCUUUGAAGCUGUUGAUCCGGGUUCGACUCUGACUUGCGCA
rnacentral:tRNA from 1 species